GAUGAACGCUAGCGGCAGGCUUAACACAUGCAAGUCGAGGGGCAGCAUGAGACGGAGAUUCGUCGAAGUCUUGAUGGCGACCGGCGCAAGGGUGCGUAACGCGUGAGCAACUUGCCCGUUUCAGGGGGAUAACCGGUGGAAACGCCGACUAAUACCCCAUAGUAUCUCUUUAAGGCAUCUUUUAGAGAUUAAAGAAUUUCGGAAACGGAUAGGCUCGCGUGACAUUAGCUAGAUGGUGAGGUAACGGCUCACCAUGGCGACGAUGUCUAGGGGUUCUGAGAGGAAGGUCCCCCACACUGGAACUGAGACACGGUCCAG
rnacentral:rRNA from 1 species